UUAAAUUGAAGAGUUUGAUCAUGGCUCAGAUUGAACGCUGGCGGCAGGCUUAACACAUGCAAGUCGAACGGUAACAUGAGUGCUUGCACUUGAUGACGAGUGGCGGACGGGUGAGUAAAGUAUGGGGAUCUGCCGAAUGGUGGGGGACAACAGUUGGAAACGACUGCUAAUACCGCAUAAAGUUGAGAGACCAAAGCAUGGGACCUUCGGGCCAUGCGCCAUUUGAUGAACCCAUAUGGGAUUAGCUAGUAGGUGGGGUAA
rnacentral:rRNA from 1 species